UUCUACCCCGAACUACGAGGUUUUGAUCCUUCACGGGUACGUAGGCAGAGGACACUCGUCCUUCCAAACAAUAAAAAAUGUAGAUAAAUUAGGUCUCACUUUAUUUUCUUUUUCAUCACAUUAAUUCCUUCUUUUCAAAAGCAAGCAAGUUAUAGCACAUUAAAUUAAAUAAAACCAAGAGGUUCCCGUAGAGUACUGCGGACAUAGAGGGUGCUAAUACCUUCCCUUUAUGUAACUAACCCCCGAACCCUAAAUCUUUUCAAAUAGGGGUAGUUUGAACUUUUUCCCCUUUUCUCAAUAAAAUUAAAUGUUCAGUCGUGAAAUAAUUAGUGAGUCAAAAGCUAAUCAAAUAGCCUUGAUCUCCAAAAAAUGACGCGACAGAAAUGGCGACUUCACUGGGGAUACCCCCUAAAGAGGGUUGAGCCUAACUUGGCCUUAUUUAAUUCUCUAUGCUAUAACUUGCUUAAAAAAAAAAAAAAAAAAAAACAAAAAGAUGGAAAUAGUUGUACAUAUCUUCUCUUUUCUUUCUCCUCUUUUCUUCUUAAAUAUGAGUGGUGAGAUAAAGCCCUACACCCGGGUUUGAGAGAAACAUAAGAUAGGACGGUGGUAUAACCAAAGUGCCUUUCCGAGAGUCAAGUCUCGUGUUUAGGUUCAUGUGGUAUAACCCCACUCAAUGGAGGGAUCUUGAAAGUAAUUUGUGUUGGCAUGAAUAGUCGUGUUGGCAUUAUAUUUUCAAGUGACCGUCGAAGUUGAGAACCUUUAGUUACCCUUAACCCAUCUUAGCCUUUUAGGACGUAGUGCGGUGGCUAAUCAAGAGUAGUCUUGAUUUAGUUGAUACGCGAUACUACACUCAAAUGAAACUUUCCUACGGAUAUUAUUGGAUCAAGAGUAGUCUUGUAACCUGAUAACAUUCGGAGGUAGUUAAUGACUUUGGGAACUGGAUAGAACCCGUGAUACAGGUACAAAUAAAACCAUAGUCCUUACCAAAUGGGGGUUAUUACCUUUAAACUCCAACAUGAUGAGCUUAACCUAUGCAUAAUCAUGCAUACAUGCAUUCAUCCAUAAAAAAAACUUUUUUUUCUCAUCAAAAUAUCGAAGGACUUAGAUAAGUUUUCGUAAACAUCAAAGAUAUGGUCCUUGUAAGAAGGAAUACCAGGAAACCCAAAACUUCAAAAAAGCUUUAGCUUUUGUUAAGAACUUUUUCCUUGGUUUCGUUCUUACUUUUGAAAGGGAACCAAUUGCAACGUCUUUACAAUUUUUAAAUAAAACAAUGUUCCUUAUCAAGUUUACAAUUACUUUGACAAGUCCUUCAAAAAAAAGAAACGUGUCUGUUUUUGCAUAAGCAUGCAUCAUUCGCAUUCAUAGUUUCAAGUCAGAGUCUUACAUUGUGUCUUUUCUACUAAAGGUCAGUCCAUCUCAAAGAGUCAUGGCAUCCUCGUCUGAAACUCACUCGCAAUUACAACACUCGAACAAUCAUGAAGAAAGGAUGAAGUUUCUCAAACAAGAAAAUCAAUUGCUCCGUGAGGAGGUGGCAGUCAUGCGAACUAAGAUGGAUGAAAUGACUGAAUUGAUGAAAGCAUUAACGGCUGCACAUAAUCAACCACCGCCUCCUCCUCCUCCUAUUAGCACUCAAGCCGAAGCAACUGUCUCUAUUUUUCCUGAAUGGACGAUACCUGUUAGUACUUCCCCAAAUUCUAGGCCAGAAGAUCGUCCUUGGAGUGUCCCUAUUUGUCUCAGUGAAGUAUUCCGCCCUAUUGCUUCUGAAACUCAGAUGCCUACUCAUCAAUAUGCAGCUCAUGUUCCUCCGCUUCCUGUAAGAGCUCCUCCAGUUGUCAUGACUUAUUCAACACCUAUGAUGCAUACCAUUCCACAAAAUGAAGAACCCAUCUUCCAUUCAGGGAACAUGGAGCCCGAUGAUAGAAUGAAUGACUUACGGGAAAAAUAUGAUGAAAUGCAUCGAGAAAUGAGGGCUCUCCGUGGGAAAGAAAAAUUUGGAAAGACCGCUUAUGAUCUCUGUUUGGUGCCGAAUGUCCAGAUACCUCACAAGUUCAAGAUCCCAGAUUUUGAGAAGUAUAAAGGGAACUCCUGCCCCGAGGAACAUUUGAAAAUGUAUGUAAGAAGGAUGUAUGCAUAUGCUCGAGACGAUCAGGUCCUCAUUUGCUACUUUCAAGAAAGUCUGGCUGGUCCCGCCUCAAAAUGGUACACGAACCUAGAGAAAACGAGAAUCCAAACUUUUCGUGAUCUAUGUGAAGCUUUUGUGGAGCAAUACAGUUAUAACAUGGAUAUGGCGCCGGACCGAAGUGAUCUUCAGGCUAUGACUCAAGAGAGCAAGGAAACGUUCAAGGAGUAUGCCCAGCGAUGGAGGGAUACCGCUGCCCAAGUCAGCCCGCGUGUAGAAGAGAAAGAAAUGACCAAGCUCUUCUUAAAAACUCUCAAUCAGUUCUACUACAAGAAGAUGGUCGGAAGCACGCCCAAGAACUUUGCUGAGAUGGUUGGUAUGGGUGUACAAUUGGAAGAAGGAGUCCGAGAAGGACGAUUGGUCAACAAUACCCAAGAAAUUGCCGACUAGGUGGAGACAGGAUCUCUCUUGCACCUUCCAUCAAGGGGCACAAGGUCAUGACGUUGAGCACUGUUUCUCCUAGGAAAUUGAAGUCCAGAAGCUGAUCGACGACAAUGUGUUGCAUUUCGAGAAAUUGGAUCCGAGUGUGUAACUGCAAUUGGGUUGAUGUUUAUGUCUUCUCCUGCUACUCGAUUUGUCUCUAGUGAUAUGUUUGUUUGUUUACUACCUCUUCAAAAAAACAUCCUUUCGUCCCGCCCGAGAUGAAAGUGAACUGGUGUAGGGCUUUUUACUUUAAGAAAUUGUCAUCAUUAAAAAGGUCGUUUUGAUCCCGCCUUUGUUUUCACUUUGUGCUUCUUCUUGGAAAAUGGUAAUACAAAAAAAACCAAAAAAAUUCUUCUUUAAUCAUUCUCAAGUAUCUGCAUAAUCAUAACUUAUACUUACUUGUCAAAAUCAACAAUAAAUCAUGCAUUAAUAAACCCGUUGAACACAUUUACCAUGUACUCUCUUCCAACUUUGAGUUCCUUGUAUCCGAAGCUGAAAGAGACAUGAAUGAAGAGACUCAUGACAAGAUCUCUCGCCUACUGGGGCAUCUAGCCAUCAAAGCUACCAAACAAAAAUCAUGAAGAUAAUCCAGAAGAUGGCACUCACUUGCAAAGACUAGUUCGAGGUGCUACCAUUCGCUUUGCUCGGAUAUCGUGCUUCAGUACACAUUUCAACAGGGGCAUUCCCCCUCUUUCCCUCAAGUAUACAACAGGGAGGUGAUGCUUCCCGCACGAUCAAAGUCCCAACAAUAGGAGUUAUGUCAAAGUCCAAGCUUAAACAAACUUAAAAUGCAUGACGACCUUGUACAAUCAUGUCAAAAAAAGUUUGAAAACAAACUUCCAACAAGAAGGUUCGUCCCCGUGAAAUUCAAGAAUGAAACUUUGUGCUCAAAAGGAUACUAUAUUUCCAAUCAGACUCCAGGGGCAAGUGGACGCCUAACUAUGAAGGAUCGCGUGCAAUAACUUCUCCAACCAUGGAUGACAAACUCGCACUUCCUAUGAAUGCCGGUGCGGUCAAGAAAUACUUUGUCAAAAAAUAAUAAAGCUCGAUAAGUCGCAAACCUUAAAGUACGGCUUAGGCAAAAAUGAGCGUCUCGGUGGACUGAAAACCCAAAAGGGCGGUCCAAGCAAAAGUUAGAGACAUGAACAAAAAUGGUUAUCCUGAUAGAUUGAAAACCCCAAAGGGCGAUCUAUGCAAAAGUUAAGGAUCAAAAAGACAAAGUAACUGCAUCCGGUCAAGCACAAUCCACUUGGGGCAUCCAGCUAUCAAAAGACCUCCGACUCGAAGCAUCUGCAGAUCAAAGACUCGGAACAGGGGCAUUCAAAGUUGUUAGGGAGAAUAAUGGUUACUGUGUUCAAUGUACCCUCCCCAUUACAUUUACCAUUUUUCCAAAAUUUUCAAAAAUCCGUGGAGCCAUGCCCUUGGCAGGUCACCACUCAAUUCAUCAAACUUGAGCCUGUGCCCAUUUAUUUGGAACUCUCAUUUAUUCUAUUUGCAUAAUUUCUUCUUAAAGCAAAAAAAUUUUCAAAUACAAAACUUUUUUUACAUCGCUUGAAAAGUGUGAACAACAAACACAUUCUCUUUGAACUCGUGAGUAGGUGAAGUAUACAUCAGCAUCCGCCUCGAUAACGGUUACACUCCGGAAGAGAAACAUGACUAAGUACUAUGGAGAGGUCCUAUACUUUGAACAAAAUGCUGUCACAGUCAAAAAAUACAAAAAAUAAUACAAAGAAGCUCGCUAAGUUGAAAACCUGAAAAGGCGACUUAGGCAACAGAGAGCGUCCCGGUGGACUGAAAACCCGAAAGGGCGGUCCAGGCAAAAAUUAGGGGCAAAUACAAAAAAUAUUCCCGGUGGACUGAAAACCCGAAAGGGCGGUCCAGGCAAAAAUUAGGGAUUUUUCAAUAAAACAAAAGGCAUGACUGCUGAAGCAUACCAAUGGAAGGACACUCUGUGCCGGUUUACAAAUGGCGACUUCUUCCAGACUUCUUUCAUCAACAAUGGGCUCACCCCCCAGGAGGCAUCAGUGGCUACCUAGUGCCAGGUUCUUACACCAUCAACGGCUCGAUUUGCUCACAAUAAUACCAUCUCCAAGGAGGGUUGCCGAGUGUUUGUAAUGCAAUGUCGGUCCGACUCCCAUCUUACCUGUCUUGUCUCGGUUCAUCGACUCACGUGUCAUGUACAUUCAUAUAUCCAUACAUUCAUAGAAUCAUGCAUUCACCAAUAUUUUCACAUAAUCAUACGUUUAUGCGUACACGACAUAUGCAUAACAUCAAUUCACACAUAAUUGCAUCAGUCAAAGCUUACCAUUGUGUCAAGCCGCAAGUUUCUACAAAUGAGCGUCUUCCAUUUCAAAUUUCAAAUUCAAAAGUGCCAUCCCCGGCGUAAAGCCGUGCUAGUUAUGUCACUAAUCAAUGUCAAUUUCAAUUUCAAAUUCAAAAGUGUCAUCCCCGGCGUAAAGCCGUGCUAGUUAUGUCACUAAUCAAUGUCAAUUUCAACUUCAAAUUCAAAAGUGUCAUCCCCGGCGUAAAGCCGUGCUAGUUAUGUCACUAAUCAAUGUCAAUUUCAAUUUCAAAUUCAAAAGUGUCAUCCCCGGCGUAAAGCCGUGCUAGUUAUGUCACUAAUCAAUGUCAAUUUCAACUUCAAAUUCAAAAGUGUCAUCCCCGGCGUAAAGCCGUGCUAGUUAUGUCACUAAUCAAUGUCAAUUUCAAUUUCAAAUUUCAAAGGUGUCAUGCCCGGCGAAAAACCGUGCUAAGUCAUGUCACUAAUCAAUGUCAAUUUCAACUUUAGUCUCGAAGUGUCAUCCCCGGCGGAAAGCCGUACUAGUCACGACGCUAGUUAAUCUCGAUGUCAACUUCAAACUCCAGGUAUCAUCCCCAGCGUAGCUGUUCUAGAGAUGUCACCAAUCCAAACCUUUCAAGCGACCGAUUCCAACAAACGAAUAGCCUAUGUCAAUGUUUUUUACCUUUCGAGCGACUAGUUCCAACAAACGAACAACUCAUGACAAUCUUUUAUCUUUAUGCCCAGCGACCGAUUCCAACAAACGAAUAGCCUAUGUCAAUGUUUUUUUUACCUUUCGAGCGACUAGUUCAAACAAACGAACAACUCAUGUCAAUCUUUUAUCUUUAUGCCCAGCGACCGAUUCCAACAAACGAAUAGCCAAUGUUUUUUUACCUUUCGAGCGACCAGUUCCAACAAACGAACAACUCAUGUCAAUCUCUUAUCUUUAUGACCAGCGACCAGUUCCAACUAACGAACAGCCUGCAACAAGUGGCCAAUUUCAACCAACAAAUAACUUGUAUCCUUCUAUUAUUUCAUUUUCAAAACCAAGUCCACAAAUGAACAUUGGAGUCCGAACCAUUGCACUUUGUUUCGAGAUAUCGAGACGAUGAGGAACAACCAUUUUCCCCAGUGAAACCAGAUUCCCCAGUAAAGUCGGAUCCCUUUCUCUGAAGAAUUUGGGUAUCCCAGUGUCCUUUCAUUCCAGUCGAGCCGUCUUUGUCAUCAUGCAUUCAUAAUUAAAUCAUGAGCAUUCAUAAACAUCUUAGGUCAAAAUUGGUGCACUUCUUGUAUUUAAGUCUCUUCGGCUCGUCGAGUCAAAGAUUUUACCUUCGAAUCUCUGAGCGAAGAAACUUAAAUAGGGGCAUCUGUCAUACCCCAAAUUUUGACCUAAGGUCCCACUGACACGCGUCUCCGAACUCGGAUCAGACUCACAUUUCAGUGAAAAAUUCGGCAGGGAGGUAUUUUGAAAUACCUCAUAAAAUUCCGAAUCGGGCCCUCUUCUCUCAGUCUAAAAUUAUUUCCAUCUUUUAAAUUUUUAUUUUAACUUUAGUCUAAAUUUAGAUUAAAUUUCUUUUAUUCCCAUUUUAAAUUUUCCUUUUUAUCCUUUUUAAAAAACCAAAAAUAUAGACAUUAUCCUUUUAUUAUUAAUUUUUCUUUUUAAUUAAGUCCCAAAAUUGUCCAAUGAUAAGUCCAACAAAAUAGUCCAAAUUCAGAUAAGCAGUCUCUCAUCUCAAUCCUUAUACACGUUCUGUUCCUUUUUCAUCCCAAUCCAAAUCCAGUUCACGCAUCAUCUGAAACAAAUCCAGUAAAAACAGACGCGUUUCCCUUUUUCUCCUCCACAAGCCACUGCUUUUUUGCUCAUCAGUAACAAACCCUAGCCUCAACCUCACUCUAUAAAUAGAGACCUGCACAACAAAGAAAAACACGAAAAAAACAGAGGAUAGCAGAGCACACGAGAAACAGAGAAAAAGGUAUCGCACAGAACCGCAACACCAACAACACGGCAACACAACAAACACACACGCACAGAACCGCAACACCAACAACACUGCAUCGCACAACGACACACACGCACAACAUCACAGAACCGGCCACAAGAAAGCCGAAUCCAUUUCUUAAACAAAAGGUAUAAAUUUCUUUCUUUUUUUUUAGAUCUAGGCGUUUGGGUAAAGGUUUUGGGAACUUGAAGGCUAGAAGUGAACAGAGGGAGGGAAGUAGAAGAGAAAGAGCGAAAAAAAUCAAAAAAAGAGGAGCUUUUUAGCUCCGGCGCGGCGGCGCAGCCGCGAUGGCUCGCCGGCCACCGCGCCGGACUUCUCCCGGCCGCCCCAUCUCCAACCGGAGAAGAAGAAAGAAGUAGAGAGAGAAGAGAGGAUUUGAGGGAUAAGAGAGAGAAAGACAAAUGAAAAAUGAAAGGAAAAACCCUACAACCCUUAUAUAUCCCCCAAACCGGGUCAACCCAUGACCCGCGACCCGGUUCGUUUUCCUUAAGCCCAGUUCCUUUUUCUGCUUUCUGCACACCCCUGUUUACUACUGCACCCCACCUUGUGUUUGGACCUUUUUUUUAUUUUUUUCUUAUUCCUUUUCGUAUUUAUUUAUUUAUUUUUUUUAGCAUUUUAAUUUUCAUUGCAGACCUUAGAAUGUAAAUAGGCUUUUUAUGUAAUAGUCAUAGAUUUUAUAUUUCUAACUUAGGGUAGCCGCGCUUUUUAUUCUUUAUGCUCCGUUAGUUCUAUCUUAUUCCAAAUAUAACAAAAAUCACAAAAACGUUUUCAUAAACAAACCUUGAUCCAAAUCAAGUGAUCGUCUUUAUUUUAUUUCUUUCAUAAAUCAAAAUUGCAAUCAACUUUAAAUCUACUUUAAGUCAUUUUCUUUUAACAAAAAUACAAACCAAUUCUUAUUUUGCCACUUGGCUUUUCCUUUUAAAACUUUUUUCAAAACUAAUAAAAAACACAAAACCAAUCAAACGUUGUUUUCUACCCCGAACUACGAGGUUUUGAUCCUUCACGGGUACGUAGGCAGAGGACACUUGUCCUUCCAAACAAUAAAAAAUGUAGAUAAAUUAGGUCUCACUUUAUUUUCUUUUUCAUCACAUUAAUUCCUUCUUUUCAAAAGCAAGCAAGUUAUAGCACAUUAAAUUAAAUAAAACCAAGAGGUUCCCGUAGAGUACUGCGGACAUAGAGGGUGCUAAUACCUUCCCUUUAUGUAACUAAC
rnacentral:lncRNA from 1 species